ACGUAUGUCGCAAGCGUUAUCCGGAAUUAUUGGGCAUAAAGGGCGUCUAGGCGGUUUAGAAAGUCUGAUGUGAAAAUGCGGGGCUCAACCCCGUAUUGCGUUGGAAACUACUAGACUAGAGUAUUGGAGAGGUAAGCGGAACUACAAGUGUAGAGGUGAAAUUCGUAGAUAUUUGUAGGAAUGCCAAUUGGGAAGCCAGCUUACUGGACAAAUACUGACGCUGAAGCGCGAAAGCUAGGGGAGCAAACAGGAUUAGAUACCCUGGUAGUCCUAGCUGUAAACGAUGAUCACUGGGUGUGGGGGGUCGAACCUCCGUGCCGAAGUUAAUGCGAUAAGUGAUCCGCCUGGGGAGUACGUUCGCAAGAAUG
rnacentral:rRNA from 1 species